AGUUUUGAAUGUACAAAUCUGCAUUUAAUACCUUAAGAAAGUCUUUAAAAGGUAUUAAAUGUGGUAUGGUAGGUCUUCAGAUAUGUUGCUAUCCACUAAAAAAAAUUUAACUUUUCAGUGAGAUAUAAGAA